GGGUGCAACACGAGGACUUCCCAGGGGGUCACCCAUCCUAGUACUACUCUCGCCCAAGCACGCUUAACUGCGGAGUUCUGAUGGGAUCCGGUGCAUUAGUGCUGGUAUGAUCGCACCC
rnacentral:rRNA from 1 species